UACAGAGGGGGCAAGCGUUGUUCGGAAUUACUGGGCGUAAAGGGCGCGUAGGCGGCCUGCUAAGUCGAACGUGAAAUCCCUGGGCUCAACCCAGGAACUGCGUCCGAUACUGGUUGGCUUGAAUCCGGGAGAGGAUGGUGGAAUUCCCAGUGUAGAGGUGAAAUUCGUAAGAUAUUGGGAAGAACACCGAUGGCGAAAGGCAGCCAUCUGGACCGACACUGACGCUGAGGCGCGAAAGCGUGGGGAGCAAACAGG
rnacentral:rRNA from 1 species